GGGCCCAUAGCUCAGUUUGGGAGAGCGCUUGAAUGGCAUUCAAGAGGUCAGGAGUUCGAUCCUCCUUGGGUCCA
rnacentral:tRNA from 2 species